UACGAAGGGGGCUAGCGUUGUUCGGAUUUACUGGGCGUAAAGCGCACGUAGGCGGAUCGAUCAGUCAGGGGUGAAAUCCCAGAGCUCAACUCUGGAACUGCCUUUGAUACUGUCGAUCUGGAGUAUGGAAGAGGUGAGUGGAAUUCCGAGUGUAGAGGUGAAAUUCGUAGAUAUUCGGAGGAACACCAGUGGCGAAGGCGGCUCACUGGUCCAGUACUGACGCUGAGGUGCGAAAGCAUGGGUAGCGAACAGG
rnacentral:rRNA from 1 species